rnacentral:rRNA from 1 species
AUACGUAGGGUGCGAGCGUUGUCCGGAAUUACUGGGCGUAAAGAGCUCGUAGGUGGUUUGUCGCGUCGUCUGUGAAAUUCCGGGGCUUAACUCCGGGCGUGCAGGCGAUACGGGCAUAACUUGAGUACUGUAGGGGAGACUGGCAUUCCUGGUGUAGCGGUGAACUGCGCAGAUAUCAGGCGGAACACCGGUGGCGAAGGCGGGUCUCUGGGCAGUAACUGACGCUGAGGAGCGAAAGCAUGGGUAGCGAACAGGAUUAGAUACCCUGGUAGUCCAUGCCGUAAACGGUGGGCGCUAGGUGUAGGGGUCUUCCACGACUUCUGUGCCGUAGCUAACGCAUUAAGCGCCCCGCCUGGGGAGUACGGCCGCAAGGCUAAAACUCAAAGGAAUUGACGGGG